rnacentral:rRNA from 1 species
GAUUUCUGACUGACCACCCUGGCCCGCUCUCUUCGGGGAGUGAGUGCUGGUGUGAGUCUGUCAUCCUUCUAGAGAGCCAUGCCUGCUGUUCAUUCAGCUGGGCGUGUGCGAUCUAGAUCAUUUACUUUGAAAAAAUUAGAGUGUUUAAAGCAGGCUUACGCUGUGAAUACAUUAGCAUGGAAUAAUAAUAUAGGACUUUGGUCUUAUUUUGUUGGUUCUGAGGACUGAAGUAAUGAUUGAUAGGGAUAGUUGGGGGUGCUAGUAUUCAGUGGCCAGAGGUGAAAUUCUUGGAUUCACUGAAGACUAACUACUGCGAAAGCAUU